rnacentral:rRNA from 1 species
GACGGGUGAGUAACGCGUGGGAACAUACCCUUCGGUUCGGAAUAGCUCAGGGAAACUUGGAUUAAUACCGGAUACGUCCGUAAGGAGAAAGAUUUAUCGCCGAAGGAUUGGCCCGCGUCUGAUUAGCUUGUUGGUGAGGUAAUGGCUCACCAAGGCGACGAUCAGUAGCUGGUCUGAGAGGAUGACCAGCCACAUUGGGACUGAGACACGGCCCAAACUCCUACGGGAGGCAGCAGUGGGGAAUAUUGGACAAUGGGCGAAAGCCUGAUCCAGCCAUGCCGCGUGAGUGAUGAAGGCCUUAGGGUUGUAAAGCUCUUUUACCCGGGAAGAUAAUGACGGUACCGGGAGAAUAAGCCCCGGCUAACUUCGUGCCAGCAGCCGCGGUAAUACGAAGGGGGCUAGCGUUGUUCGGAAUUACUGGGCGUAAAGCGCACGUAGGCGGAUUUUUAAGUCAGGGGUGAAAUCCCG